UCUCCCGAUAUCAAAUCUCAUACUACGGUAAUUCGAGAGACGAAAUAAUCGAACAAAAAAGGAACGAAGAAAGAGAUAAAAACGGGAAGAAGUACAUUAUCCGUCUAUUAUAGUCCAGUAAAAGACAACCACGUACUGCAGUUGCCUCGACUAGUUCGCGACGCGAGUACCUGUAGAACGAAUAGCUGUACGUUUAUAAAAUAAGAAGUUACAAGGGGAAAUUUCUUCGCCUGUGGCGUUAUAAGUCGCGAUACGGUACCAGGACUUCACCAGACUGUUCCACAUGAGCUUUACCUGCACGAGAGUCGGAACGAAGUUGAGGCCUGUAAUUAUUCCGGUCAAAUGAGCCACGCGGUCGAGUAGCUUCCAUGCAGCUACCGCCGAACCCCGAGCCAACUUCGAGCCUCGGGG
rnacentral:misc_RNA from 1 species